rnacentral:rRNA from 1 species
CAGCCGCCGCGGGAAUACGUAGGUGGCAAGCGUUGUCCGGAAUUAUUGGGCGUAAAGGGCUCGCAGGCGGUUUCUUAAGUCUGAUGUGAAAGCCCCCGGCUCAACCGGGGAGGGUCAUUGGAAACUGGGGAACUUGAGUGCAGAAGAGGAGAGUGGAAUUCCGCGUGUAGCGGUGAAAUGCGUAGAGAUGUGGAGGCACGCCAGUGGCGAAGGCGACUCUCUGGUCUGUAACUGACGCUGAGGAGCGAAAGCGUGGGGAGCGAACAGGAUUAGAUACCCCGGUAGUCCCUGUCUCUUAUAA